CUCUCUCCCGGUCUUGUCUUUUGAGACCUUUUUGUGCCUUGCAUCAUUUCUUGCUUUUAAUGAAGUGCUAGUUAACGUUAUAAAUUAGUUUUUUGUCCCCCAAUCCAAGUAAUAAAUAUGCUAAAUUUAAAUUACAUACAUAUGCAUGCAUCUUGGAAACAAGUGUCUGCUUUAGAUCUUUUUGCUCUAUUUUUGAAUAUUUUAUUUUUCGAUUCUCCAUGAAUACAUUUGUUCUUGAAUGAUUAAUUUUUUUUUCUGAUUUACCAAAAAAGAAAAAAAAGAAGCCAGCUUUCUAAUUGUAACACUUAGUUUUAUCCCUCACAUUUUUGUCUUGUACGCGCACGUAGUAUUUUGACAUCUAC
rnacentral:lncRNA from 1 species